GACGAACGCUGGCGGCGUGCCUAAUACAUGCAAGUCGAGCGGAAGUUGAAGAGCUUGCUCCUCAACUUUAGCGGCGGACGGGUGAGUAACACGUGGGCAACCUGCCCUGCAGAUCGGGAUAACUCCGGGAAACCGGUGCUAAUACCGAAUAGUUUUCGCCACCUCCCGGUGGCGUACGGAAAGACGGUUUCGGCUGUCACUGCAGGAUGGGCCCGCGGCGCAUUAGCUAGUUGGUGGGGUAACGGCCCACCAAGGCGACGAUGCGUAGCCGACCUGAGAGGGUGAUCGGCCACACUGGGACUGAGACACGGCCCAGACUCCUACGGGAGGCAGCAGUAGGGAAUCUUCCGCAAUGGACGAAAGUCUGACGGAGCAACGCCGCGUGAGUGACGAAGGUUUUCGGAUCGUAAAACUCUGUUGUGAGGGAAGAACAAGUACCAACUAACUACUGGUACCUUGACGGUACCUCACCAGAAAGCCACGGCUAACUACGUGCCAGCCGCCGCCGUAAUAC
rnacentral:rRNA from 1 species